UACAGAGGUCCCAAGCGUUGUUCGGAUUCACUGGGCGUAAAGGGUGCGUAGGCGGUCGGGUAAGUCUGAUGUGAAAUCUCACAGCUUAACUGUGAAACUGCAUUGGAUACUAUCCGGCUAGAGGAAUGGAGGGGAGACUGGAAUACUUGGUGUAGCAAUGAAAUGCGUAGAUAUCAAGUGGAACACCAGUGGCGAAGGCGAGUCUCUGGACAUUUCCUGACGCUGAGGCACGAAAGCCAGGGGAGCAAACGGG
rnacentral:rRNA from 1 species